UCGCCUUCUCUAAAUCUUUUAUUGACCUAUAGUCUCUACAAUGAAUUGUAAAUAUUAAUCGAACUUUCGGUAUCCAAUACCUAUGUAGUAGUAUCACAAACAGAAAAAUUAUAAGGAGUUCUUUGGCCUGUUUAGGUCAAGGAUAGGUUUAUAAGCCAGACAAUUCUUUUUUCAAUGAUCUAGCUUCUUACAAAAGAAGUAUUCUAUCUAGCUCUUGUCGACUUUUGACUUUUCACUCUGCUUUAGUUUGGGAUCGAUAGUAUGAUUUUUUUACAUCUUCUUCUUCUUCUUUUCUCUCUUAGAGGAUCGACGACCUGUAGACGAACCUCCCACUACAUGCACUGGCUUCUUCUAGAACUGAUGGUCCUUCUCGAAUGUCUACAGCAAUCCUAGCAAACCCUGAUAGUUUACUGCAGGCUUGGUCAAUUCUAUAAUGACUCGAGAAGGGUAGGUAGGAUUUUGGUAGCAAAUUGAGGAUAGCAUCCUUGUCUAACUGUUCAUAUAAUGGAAAGCCAAGUUUACUUAAACGUUCAAUCUGCUCAAUCAUGUACAACACAUGAUCAGUAAUUGAUGCCCCCUCUCGCAUACGGGCAUUGAACACUGCAUAAGAAGUUUUAUAUCUCUUUGUAUCCUUUGAGGUGCUGAAGGACUCAUUCAAUAUUUAAAUCAUAUCCUCUGGUUGUGCAUCCUCAAAUUUAUGGCUAAGUUCAUCGUUCAUGGUUGUCCUCAUAAUGUAAUGCACUGUCGUGCGGUCACUAAGCCACUUCAAGUAUCUCUCAUAGCAUGAGAUAUAUUGGCAGCAGAUUCUUCAGGUGAUGGAUCCAUAAGCAUGUACAGGAUCCUCUCAUAUUUCAAGACAAUCUUCAACUUUCGAUACCAACUAUCAAAGUUGGGUCGGAUAAGCUUGUCGCUAUCCAAUAGCGAACAGAGCGAUAGUAUGUUGGCCAUAGCUGAAAAGAAAAAAAUAUAAAUCUAUUAGUAUAUUAAUUAUUUUAAUCCUAAAGAUAUGGACUUUAGUCUAAAGGCUCUCUCACUAUUUUAUAUGAAUUAAUAGCCUCUACCUCCAAUUCGAAGAAUUAUAUUAAUUUUUUAGCAGAUACUAGAAUCCACACAGACUACAUUCGGGUCCGAGUAUGGCUCGGCCAAUCCUAGUGCAUUAUGGAUAGGUUUAUAACCAAUUAUUUCUCUAAACAACUUCUAACAAUUAGAUAUUGCCCCA
rnacentral:lncRNA from 1 species